rnacentral:rRNA from 1 species
AGAGCGAACGCUGGCGGCAGGCCUAACAUAUGCAAGUCGAGCGCCCCGCAAGGGGAGCGGCAGACGGGAGAGUAACACGUGGGAACGUGCCCUUUGGUUCGGAACAACACAGGGAAACUUGUGCUAAUACCGGAUAAGCCCUUACGGGGAAAGAUUUAUCGCCAAAGGAUCGGCCCGCGUCUGAUUAGCUAGUUGGUGAGGUAACGGCUCACCAAGGCUACGAUCAGUAGCUGGUCUGAGAGGAUGAUCAGCCUCACUGGGACUGAGACACGGCCCAGACUCCUACGGGAGGCAGCAGUGGGGAAUAUUGGACAAUGGGCGCAAGCCUGAUCCAGCCAUGCCGCGUGGGUGAUGAAGGCCCUAGGGUUGUAAAGCCCUUUCGGCGGGAAGAUAAUGACGGUACCGCAGAAGAAGCCCGGCUAACUCGUGCCAGCAGCCGC